rnacentral:tRNA from 1 species
GUCCCCGUAGCUCAGCAGGAUAGAGCAACUGCCUCCUAAGCAGUAGGUCGGAGGUUCGAAUCCUCCCGGGGACGCCA